rnacentral:snRNA from 1 species
AAGGGGCGCCAGAGAGGGU